CCGGGGACGACCCCGGAUUUACGUGCCUUACUGCGGGGACGACCCCA
rnacentral:ncRNA from 1 species